GUGCCCCAAACUUUGCACAUAGAGAAUUGUGAGUACGACCUCUACGCUUUAGUCCACCACUUUGGUAACCUGUCAGGAGGUCAUUACACUGCAGAGAUCAAGUCUUUUGAAACUGGAGAGUGGUAUCACUUUAACGAUGACACUGUUGACAGGGUCCCGCACAGCAUACCUUCUUAUGUAUAGGAGGGUGAGCACCCAUCCGGAAAAAACUGAUGAAAUCAGUGAGGAAGCUCAAUGCUCACAAGUAGAUGAAGGAGGUCAGGACGAGGCAGAGAGAGGAGAGGCUCCUGUUCCUCGUCAUCAACUGAAGGAGGAAAGAUGUCCUGGGGAUGAAAACUUGAAGCAUGUGAAUGGUGACGUGUUAAAUGAGAUGACUGAUGAUACGGACUCUGAAGAACUGGAGACACAACCAGACCAGACAGCAGCAUGUGUGACACCACAAGAAGACAUACAGCGUCAGACAAACACUGGAGCAGAUGGGGACAGUUUGCAAACACAAAAGUUAUAUUUUUCAAAGACUCAGACUUCAGGACAUCAUGAGCCAAACAGACAUCAUCUUAAUACAAACUCAGAGCAAAUUAAUUCCCAAAAGCAAAGCCUA